UACGGAGGGUGCGAGCGUUGUUCGGAAUUACUGGGCGUAAAGGGGGCGUAGGCGGUUUGUUAAGUCAAAUGUGAAAGUCCACGGCUUAACUGUGGAAGUGCAUUUGAGACUGGCAGGCUAGAGUUUCGGAAGGGAAAGUGGAAUUCCUGGUGUAGGAGUGAAAUCCGUAGAUAUCAGGAGGAAUACCGGUGGCGAAGGCGACUUUCUGGACGAAUACUGACGCUGAGGCCAGAAAGCGUGGGGAGCAAACAGG
rnacentral:rRNA from 1 species